UACGUAGGAUGCGAGCGUUAUCCGGAUUUAUUGGGUUUAAAGGGUGCGUAGGCGGAUCGUUAAGUCAGUGGUCAAAUUGAGGGGCUCAACCCCUUCCCGCCAUUGAAACUGGCGAUCUUGAGUGGAAGAGAAGUAUGCGGAAUGCGUGGUGUAGCGGUGAAAUGCAUAGAUAUCACGCAGAACCCCGAUUGCGAAGGCAGCAUGCCGGCUUCCUACUGACGCUGGAGCACGAAAGCGUGGGGAUCGAACAGG
rnacentral:rRNA from 1 species